GACGAACGCUGGCGGCGUGCUUAACACAUGCAAGUCGAACGGAAAGGCCCUGUUUUUGUGGGGUGCUCGAGUUACGAACGGGUGAGUAACACGUGUGUAACCUGCCCUUGACUGUGGGAUAACUUCAGGAAACUUGGGCUAAUACCGGUUAGGAGCUCUUGCUGCGUGGGGGGGGUUGGACAGUUUGGGUGGUUGGGGAUGGAAUCGCGGAGUAUCUGGUUGGUGGUGGGGUGGUGGCUUAGCAAGGCUUUGACCGGUGGCCGGCCUGGGAGGGUGACCGGACACAUGGGGACGGAGCUAAGGCCCGGCCUCGUACGGGAGGCAGGGGUGGGGAGUGGAACACUGUGGGAGGGAGGCUGAUGCAGCGACGCCGCGUGGGGGGUGACAGCCUUCGGUUUGUAGAGCGCAAUCGCCUGGGACGGAGCGUUAGUGACGGUAAUGGGAGAAGAAGCACCGGCUAACUACGUG
rnacentral:rRNA from 1 species